rnacentral:misc_RNA from 1 species
UCCUGGUUAACCCAGGCAGUCUCAUUAGAGUUCCCAUCCGAAAUGUUGGCAACUAAUGAUAAGGGUUGCGCUCGUUGCGGGACUUAACCCAACACCUCACGGCACGAGCUGACGACAGCCAUGCAGCACCUGUGCAGCGGCCCCGAAGGGAAAUCUUAUCUCUAAGACUGUCCACUGCAUGUCAAAUCUGGGUAAGGUUCUUCGCGUUGCAUCGAAUUAAACCACAUGCUCCACUGCUUGUGCGGGUCCCCGUCAAUUCUUUUGAGUUUCAGCCUUGCGACUGUACUCCCCAGGCGGUAUACUUAACGCGUUAGCUUCGGCACAACUGGGGUUGAGUCCAGUUACACCAAGUAUACAUAGUUUAGGGCAAGGACUAC